CCUUUCUGAACAAUAAUCGGCGUACUUAUUCCCUACGCCAUAAUAAUCCGUCACAGAGCAAAUGCAGUACAACCGUUCCAAGCAGCCGGCAUCUAGGUAAAUUUAAAUUUAAGACAAGCACGGACAAUUAUUAAACUAUACAAGUUUUCAACACUCUUUCGGGUCGUUUACACUCGAUGACAAAAAUGUUGGACGACAGAUAACGUAUACAGUGCUUCUUCAGAAUGUUCAGUGUAUAAUUCGCUUAUUCCAAGUAGUUAUUUUACUCGACAUCGACAAGCAGACCCACAUGUUUUAAUGCCUGCUGUUUCAUAUGUCAAGAGAGACAGACAGGAAGCUAUUUUUCCCUGAGCUUCGUUCCAAUGACAACCACGCAAGGAACACUGGGUAAUCGAAUUAAUUUUUCGAUUUUUUGAGGCAGAAUCACAGAAUGGCAAAGUUUAUCAGAUAAAUUGAAACAUUUUAUUAUUACCUUUCUUGUUGUAAACCUAAAACUCUGGAGAAGCUUUGAACAAUUGGAUUGAAAAGUAAAAGAAACUUUGAAAGUUUCAUAUUCAGAAAUUUCACUCCCCAGGUUGAAUACGUCAUGUUAGGAGCAAUAUAGUAGUAGAAGUAGAACGACACAGAAAAGUGAAAACCUAUUCUGUGGUGAAAAUAUGGUGGGGAAACCCAGUCUAAUAAAUUUGUGUAAGGCGUAAGUAUUGUUUUAAUAUUGAAUUAUUUGAAUACACUUAGAACAAUGAAAAUUUAUGAACAUGAAAAAGAUUUUCACUGGAUCAAUGAAUCAUCAUAUUGUAUUUUUUGUCAUAUUUUAUAGUGUAUAACAAAGUUCAACAGAAAGUUUGAAAAUAUGUUUCUAAAGAACUUUCGUGUCAAGUCCAACACAGCCAUUCGAGGAUCUGAUAGGUACUGCAUUAUUUUGUACAUUUACAUUAGAGAGGUUCAGAUUCGACUUCUACUACUUUUGUAGUUUUGUGCAUGCCCAGUGCAUGCUGACUUUCGGUUGCUAAAAAAGAACUGUGCCAUCCAAAUCUUUCAGUUAAACCACACAGCCCUAGUACGCAGAUAGCAAGGGUUUUGUGUACCUGUGUGGUACUUGGCCGA